rnacentral:rRNA from 1 species
CUGUGAGUUCGAAGAGUAGGGCGGGACACGUGGUAUCCUGUCUGAAUAUGGGGGGACCAUCCUCCAAGGCUAAAUACUCCUGACUGACCGAUAGUGAACCAGUACCGUGAGGGAAAGGCGAAAAGAACCCCGGCGAGGGGAGUGAAACAGAACCUGAAACCGUGUACGUACAAGCAGUGGGAGCCAACUUGUUUGGUGACUGCGUACCUUUUGUAUAAUGGGUCAGCGACUUAUAUUCUGUAGCAAGGUUAACCGUAUAGGGGAGCCGCAGGGAAACCGAGUCUUAACUGGGCGUUAAGUUGCAGGGUAUAGACCCGAAACCCGGUGAUCUAGCCAUGGGCAGGUUGAAGGUUGGGUAACACUAACUGGAGGACCGAACCGACUAAUGUUGAAAAAUUAGCGGAUGACUUGUGGCUGGGGGUGAAAGGCCAAUCAAACCGGGAGAUAGCUGGUUCUCCCCGAAAGCUAUUUAGGUAGCGCCUCGUGAACUCAUCUUCGGGGGUAGAGCACUGUUUCGGCUAGGGGGCCAUCCCGGCUUACCAACCCGAUGCAAACUGCGAAUACCGGAGAAUGUUAUCACGGGAGACACACGGCGGGUGCUAACGUCCGUCGUGAAGAGGGAAACAACCCAGACCGCCAGCUAAGGUCCCAAAGUCAUGGUUAAGUGGGAAACGAUGUGGGAAGGCACAGACAGCCAGGAUGUUGGCUUAGAAGCAGCCAUCAUUUAAAGAAAGCGUAAUAGCUCACUGGUCGAGUCGGCCUGCGCGGAAGAUGUAACGGGGCUAAACCAUGCACCGAAGCUGCGGCAGCGACGCUUAGGCGUUGUUGGGUAGGGGAGCGUUCUGUAAGCCGUUGAAGGUGAACUGUGAGGUUUGCUGGAGGUAUCAGAAGUGCGAAUGCUGACAUAAGUAACGAUAAAGCGGGUGAAAAGCCCGCUCGCCGGAAGACCAAGGGUUCCUGUUCAACGUUAAUCGGAGCAGGGUGAGUCGACCCCUAAGGCGAGGCUGAAAAGCGUAGUCGAUGGGAAGCAGGUUAAUAUUCCUGCACUUGGUGUUACUGCGAAGGGGGGACGGAGAAGGCUAGGUUAUCCGGGCGACGGUUGUCCCGGUUUAAGCAUGUAGGCGG